UCUCUUAUAUGCCGCCAAGCUUAUGUGGGCAAUUCAGUCAUCAAUCUCAGAGAAAAAUGAGCCAUAUGGUGAAGCACAGAUGAUGAGUAACGACGGUCGGGUAGCAAAACAAAAAACAAAGUAUCCUGUGACUGCAAGAUGGCAUGGUUGCCAAUAAUCUGCAUUUAAAAUUAGUAAAGGCGGAGAAAAAUAUUCUGCACGUAUUUUUCUAUUCUUCAUAAACGAUAGAUCGACUAAAAGAAUAUCAGCAUGGGCGCAGUCAUCUCUAAAGAACGCACCACACAAUACUGGGAACAUUUAAGCGAUUAAGACACCCUAUGUGAAAACAACAUACUGCACACCUGGUUGUAAUGAGACGAAACCUUACCCUAUGUCCCCCUGUUGCACUGUGUCAGCAAAAGUCAAUGAUAUGAGAGGUGUGCGUGGAAUAAACAGUCCGUGCGAGAA